AAGAAAUAAAAGAAAAGGAAAAUAAAGGAAGAAGAAGAGGAAAUCGGUCGGGGAAGAAGGAAGAGGGAGAGAGGAGGAGUUGCCGUCCGUCGAGCUCGAGGCGCGAUGGCAGUAGCUAGCAGAAGAGCCGGUGCCGGCGACAGCAGCCCCAGCAGGCGGCGGCGGCAGCGCGAAGAAAAAAAGGAGAGAGAGGAAGCAGCGGCUGUUGACGCCGUGUGGGGCGUUUCCGGCGGCAAUGGCGGCCGAGUCAGGUGGCGAUCGACUCACCUAAGAUUGGGCUUUCUUUUGGGAGCAACGGCGAAGCAAAUGGUGUUCGGAGUUAGUAGUCGCGGUGGAGAGAGAAAAUGGGUGGCAGCCGGCAUUUUCUGGUUUUUUCGGCGAGCUCCGGCGAGCUUGAGCUGAUCGGAGGACAUAUCCAGACUCCUCUCAGCUCAAGCUUUCCAAAGGCACCGGUUUCGUGGCGUUCGGACUCCGUUUAAAAAUCGACGGCUGAGAUCAUCUGUAAAUCUCUCCGGAUGAUCGGGGGUCAGAUCGGAAGAUAGGAAGCUGGGAUCGUCAUCAACGCAUUGUUUCGAGUCUGUUGGUGCGUUCGGAUCGUCGAUCAGACUCCGGCGGCUGGAGGCGAGUCGAUUGAGUGAUCAAACGUUUCGAUAAUCUGUCAGUUCGGCUCGCUUCACUCGAGGCAUCGGAGCAGAGCUAGGAGGCCGUCAGAUCUGUGAUUGUUAGUCUUCCCGCAGUCCUCAUAUAGCAACCCGACUCCUACAGCAUCGGGUUGAUGUAAUUGAUUUUGAUAUAUUUGACUUGUAGAAUUUUAGAUUUUCCGCAGUAGAAAUAUUAGACUUAUUAGUUGUAAUUUUAUGUAAAUACAGGUCUUGCCUAAUUAUGCUGGCAGAUCGAAUUAAAUAUGUAGAAUUUGAUGGUUAAGGUUAAUUGUGAAUCAGUGCUUUGGACUGA